UUUACUCCAAGAUCGUCUAAACCAGUAUCAACUUCCACUCCAAGAUCGUCAAAGCCGGUAUCAACUUCCACUCCAAUAUUGUCUAAGCCGUUAUCAACCUCCACUCCAAGAUCAUCUAAGGCCUUAUCAACCUCCACUCCAAGAUCGUCUAAGCUGGUACCAACCUCCACUCCAAGAUCGUCAAAGUCGGUACCAGCCUCCACUCUAAGACCGUCUAAGACAGGGUCAGCAGCCACCUCCAGGUUGUAUAAGCCACUCUCGACAUCAAGUCCCGCAUUACCCAAG
rnacentral:lncRNA from 1 species